rnacentral:rRNA from 1 species
UGGGGAGUAUUGGACAAUGGGGGCAACCCUGAUCCAGCAAUGCCGCGUGGGUGAUGAGGGCCUUCGGGUUGUAAAGCCCUUUCGGCGGGGACGAUGAUGACGGUACCCGCAGAAGAAGCCCCGGCUAACUCCGUGCCAGCAGCCGCGGUAAUACGGAGGGGGCUAGCGUUGUUCGGAAUUACUGGGCGUAAAGCGCACGUAGGCGGCUUUGUAAGUUAGAGGUGAAAGCCCAGGGCUCAACCCUGGAAUUGCCUUUAAGACUGCAUCGCUUGAACAUCGGAGAGGUAAGUGGAAUUCCGAGUGUAGAGGUGAAAUUCGUAGAUAUUCGGAAGAACACCAGUGGCGAAGGCGACUUACUGGACGAUUGUUGACGCUGAGGUGCGAAAGCGUGGGGAGCAAA